ACACAUACCAGGACAUGUCCAGUGACAUUUCAAAGUAAAAGAAGAUGGUUGAUCAAGGUCUAAAACAUUAAAUCACAAACAUUAUGUGCAACAUCCAAGUGAGUGGAUGAGAGUUGCUCCGGUGCUGCACGUGAAAACAACCCUCAUAAAACAUCACCUCCGCUGAUGAAGAAAUCACAUAAAUGUUGAUUAAUAAUUAGGAUUGCCAUGAACAAUGGCAACCUAUUAUUAUCCACCUCUAAACUGGACUCUUUAUUUAUUUAUUAUUCAUCCCAGAACUUUCACCGUUAAUGCGUUCGGGCCCCAUGAAAAAUACAUCAUUGCGUCGGUGUCGAUCUCACGAGGUGUGUUAUUAUUUAUCUUUACAUAAUCUGUUAUCAUGGCGACGUAAUCCCCAAAAAACUAAUCUAAAAAUCCCCAUUGGAUUACAUGGGAAGCUCCUCACUCUAGGUCAUGUGACCUUAGAGUGUGAGCUCUGUAAUUU